AAAUUGAAGAGUUUGAUCAUGGCUCAGAUUGAACGCUGGCGGCAGGCCUAACACAUGCAAGUCGAACGGUAGCACAGAGAGCUUGCUCUCGGGUGACGAGUGGCGGACGGGUGAGUAAUGUCUGGGAAACUGCCUGAUGGAGGGGGAUAACUACUGGAAACGGUGGCUAAUACCGCAUAACGUCGAAAGACCAAAGAGGGGGACCUUCGGGCCUCUUGCCAUCAGAUGUGCCCAGAUGGGAUUAGCUAGUUGGUGAGGUAACGGCUCACCAAGGCGACGAUCCCUAGCUGGUC
rnacentral:rRNA from 1 species